rnacentral:tRNA from 1 species
GGGGUUUUAGCUCAGCUGGGAGAGCACCUGCCUUGCACGCAGGGGGUCAGGGGUUCGAACCCCCUAAGCUCCACCA